GUAGUAAGAUAUAAUAAAGAACUUAUCAUGCUUCUAUAAAGCUUUGAAUCAACAAUCUUGUCAUGUUCAUCCUUCUCUAAUUUACAGGAAGGGGUCAUAGGAGUACUUACACUUUUGGAGCUUUUCAUUUCAAGUUUUUUUAAUAGUUCUCUUGUGUACUUACUUUAGGUGAUAGAGAUCCCUUUCUUCAUUUGCUUGAUCUG
rnacentral:lncRNA from 1 species